UGGGGAAUCUUGCGCAAUGGCCGAAAGGCUGACGCAGCGACGCCGCGUGCGGGAGGACGCCUUUCGGGGUGUAAACCACUGUUGCCCGGGACGAACAGGUCUAUUCGUAGACCCUGACGGUACCGGGCGAGGAAGCACCGGCUAACUCUGUGCCAGCAGCCGCGGUAAUACGGAGGGUGCGAGCGUUGUCCGGAAUCAUUGGGCGUAAAGGGCGCGUAGGUGGCUCGCCAAGCGGGCGGUGAAAGCCUGGGGCUCAACCCCGGGUCGGCCGUGCGAACUGGCGAGCUGGAGCACUGUAGAGGCAGGCGGAAUUCCGGGUGUAGCGGUGGAAUGCGUAGAGAUCCGGAAGAACACCGGUGGCGAAGGCGGCCUGCUGGGCAGUGGCUGACACUGAGGCGCGACAGCGUGGGGAGCAAAC
rnacentral:rRNA from 1 species